UACGUAGGGGGCAAGCGUUGUCCGGAGUUACUGGGCGUAAAGCGCACGCAGGCGGUCUCUUAAGUUUGGAGUGACAGUUGGUGGCUUAACUGCCAAAGUGCUUCGAAAACUGAGAGACUUGAGGGCUUCAGAGGGACACGGAAUUCUGGGUGGAGUGGUGAAAUGCGUAGAGAUCCGGAGGAACACCAAAGGCGAAGGCAGUGUCCUGGGGAGUACCUGACGCUCAGGUGCGAAAGCCAGGGGAGCGAACGGG
rnacentral:rRNA from 1 species